CUGAGAAAUCUAACCCACAGGAGUAGUAGUAGUAGUCUGAUCAGGGACCCCCAAAAUCUGUCUCAGUGAUUUCCAUGCAUGUUGCUCUCCUGACUGAGGAGCUCAGCCUCAAAAGCUCCUUAUUCCUCAAGGGUAGGGGGGACUGAGGUGCAGCCUCAGUGUUUUCUAGGAUCUGAAGGGCUGACAACUAGCGAUAACCCCAUGGAGAAACUGCAACACUGAUGAUUCUGAGAGAGGAGAUAAUGGCAGAAGAGAAGAGCCAGUAGUGCAACCCUUUUGGUGCAGCCAGCCCACAUCCUUGCCAGCCUGUUGCCAUUGCAGUUGUGGCCAGAGCUUACAGAGGCUUCCCAGAAGUGAACAUUCUCACCUGAAGAGGAAGGCAAGAAGAAGGGGAGUAGAGCAAGAAAGUGUGCAGACAAAUUGGGAUUUCUGCUCCUGCAGCCAGGAAGCUGAGAGGAUGGGGUGCAGACCAUCACUCCAUGGCUUCACCUGAGAUUGGUAGCCACCAGCCACACCUUCCCACAGUGACCCUGAGAGAAGAGCAGCAGCUAUUCCAGCUCUCCUACUCUCCAUCAAUCACAAAGCCAGCAGCCAUCACAGGUGUUUUACCUCCCUUCAUCAGGAUGCUGAUUUGGACUGUCCAGUGCAAUUCCCCUGCAGUGCUAAUACAGGCAGACUCCGUGCCAGAGCUGUGUGGAGUGGCAGAGCCCAGCAGGCAGACAGGGACAGCAGGGCUCCACUGCCCCAUCACUGGGAGGU